rnacentral:rRNA from 1 species
GAUGAACGCUGGCGGCGUGCCUAAUACAUGCAAGUCGAGCGAACAGACGAGGAGCUUGCUCCUCUGACGUUAGCGGCGGACGGGUGAGUAACACGUGGAUAACCUACCUAUAAGACUGGGAUAACUUCGGGAAACCGGAGCUAAUACCGGAUAACAUGUUGAACCGCAUGGUUUAACAGUGAAAGACGGUCUUGCUGUCACUUAUAGAUGGAUCCGCGCCGCAUUAGCUAGUUGGUAAGGUAACGGCUUACCAAGGCAACGAUGCGUAGCCGACCUGAGAGGGUGAUCGGCCACACUGGAACUGAGACACGGUCCAGACUCCUACGGGAGGCAGCAGUAGGGAAUCUUCCGCAAUGGGCGAAAGCCUGACGGAGCAACGCCGCGUGAGUGAAGAAGGUCUUCGGAUCGUAAAACUCUGUUAUUAGGGAAGAACAAAUGUGUAAGUAACUAUGCACGUCUUGACGGUACCUAAUCAGAAAGCCACGGCUAACUGCGUG